rnacentral:lncRNA from 1 species
AUGAGGAUGGAGCAGGGACAUCAACAAUCACAAAGAGAGGGGCUUUCCCUUGGAAGUGACAAGUUACUAGAUAGAUGGAAGCUUCCCAGUGGCACUGGAAAACAGACUCUAAAGUUUUUUGAUGAAACAGAACACUGGCCUUUCCUCUUCAUUUUGGAGGACUGUUUCAUGUGUUGUUACCAGGCUCUCCCAACACAGAAGUACCCCAGGGUCUCUCUCCACUUUCCAAUAAGCUUUCUGUGAAGACUUCCUACAGGAGGACCAAGUUCGAGUUAUUCUACAGUGACAUGACUGCCGAACUCUGUGACAAUAAAGAUCAGGAUGACUCUCUCUGAAUUCUAAAU